AUACGGAGGGUGCAAGCGUUAUUCGGAAUCACUGGGCGUAAAGGGUGCGUAGGCGGUUUGAUAAGUCUGAUGUGAAAUCCUAUGGCGCAACCAUAGAACUGCAUUGGAAACUGUCAAACUAGAAUACUGAAGGGGCAGAUGGAAUUAGUGGUGUAGGGGUAAAAUCCGUAGAUAUCACUAGGAAUACCGAAAGCGAAAGCGAUCUGCUGGGAAGUUAUUGACGCUGAGGCACGAAAGCGUGGGGAGCAAACAGGAUUAGAAACCCCAGUAGUCC
rnacentral:rRNA from 1 species